ensembl:lncRNA
AAGGCAGACAAAGGAGCAGUGAACUUUGCAGAAGUGAAUGAUUACCUAAAGCAAUGAAGGCAGGCAGAAAAGAAGCUGAAGACAAGAUUUGCUAUUUCUUGCUAACCUCUUUCUUCCUUCCAGGUGGAACAACCAUUUUGCACCUAUGGGAAAUGGGAAAGAAAUACUGUCUUCUCCAGCAGCUCUGCAGAUCUGAAGAUGUCCACAUCAAAUGACUCAUAGAGCACUUGGCAGGGAAAAGUCUUGUCAAGCUGGCAACGUGAAGUGGAGAAAUCAGAGUGAAGAACAAACCUAGACCACUAGAUAGACCUGAUCCCACUUUUUUUAAACAACUCCAUAUCCUUGGCAAGCUGCUCUCUGCUGCAGAAGAUGUGACAAGAGCCUGGUGACUGUAUCUCACAUUCUGAUAUAUCAAAGAACUUUACAACCCAGUGAUCUUUCCAGUGCAGCCAUGAGGUCUGCAAGAACUGCCCAUCUGAGAGUUGGAAAAGUAGAGAAAUAAAAAGACUAUGUUUCUACCUAGAAGAAAUCACAUCUUUCAACCAUUAUGAGUGAAUAAGUUAUUUUCAGUCUUGAAAUGAAAAGUGCAAAGAAACAUUCACCAGAACUCUCAUUUUCCAUAGAUAAGGCAAAACUGCUUGAAACAGCUGAGCUUUACACUACAUUUAAGAAAUGAUGGGACUGCCACAAAACACGUUUGUAGAAUUAAGCAUUUCAAGUAGAGGUAUCUUUUUUGUUUUCCUUGAAAAAGUGUUCCCUGUGACGGUUUUUUUUUCGUUGCUUAUGAUGGAGUCAGAGAGACUAUUUUCACAGGUACUCAAAGAGCAAAUACCUUCCUUGACUCUUUCA